UGAUCAGAGGAGCUGGGCUCCUUGCGAGCUCAACCUAUUCUCAAACUUUCAAUGGGUGAGACGUCUCGCUGGCUUCACUGCAGCGACGACUCUGAAUCCGAGUGCCCAGUGGGCCACUUUUGGUAAGCAGAACUGGCGAUGCGGGAUGAACCGCAUGUCGAGUUAAGGUGCCUAAGCGGACGCAAAUCAGAUACCAUGAAAGGUGUUGAUUGCUCACGACAGCAGGACGGUGGCCAUGGAAGUCGGCAUCCGCUAAGGAGUGUGUAACAACUCACCUGCCGAAGCAAUCAGCCCUGAAAAUGGAUGGCGCUAAAGCGUUCCACCGAUACUCGACCGUCGUCGGCACGCGACCGGCCCUGGGCCGGUCUCAGGCCACGACGAGUAGGGCGGCGCGGUGGUGAGCGUCGAAGGCGUAGCCGUGAGGCUAGCUGGAGCCGCCAUCGGUGCAGAUCUUGGUGGUAGUAGCAAAUACACAAGCAAGAUCCUUGUGGACCGAUGUGGAGAAGGGUUCCGCGCGAACAGUACUUGGACGUGGGUGAGUCGGCCCUAAGCCAACGGGUAAUUCCCGCAUCCCG
rnacentral:rRNA from 1 species